UUCCUCGCUGUCUUUUUACUCCUCAUAUACUUUGCUGACUUGAAGCAAACAACCGAUAUUGAGUCAUCGGUUAAUCCCAUAACGUCUACCUAUGAAGCUGUUGACCCGGAACUGAACCCCGACAUUUUUCCAAAAAGCGCAGAAAUAGAGAACUGGGAUAAGCCAUUGGAAAACUUUAAAACAAGUAUUUCAGCCAAAUCGUCGAAAAAGUCGGGGAAAAACUCGCGAAAAAGGUUAACAAAACCAACUGCUAUAUCAAAGAAACAAAAGAAAAUCUUUUUCAAAUGGAUCAAAUGUGGGUUUCUCAAAGGAAGACUGGCUGCGCAAAAAUUAAUGUGUAUUGGCUUAGUGCCUACUGUAGCAGUGUGUGCAACCAAUAUAUUUAAUAUAACGAGGCAUAGUAUCAUCAUGGCAGGAUAUUCUACUCUCAAAGCAUUUCUCAGCGCUCUUUGGGCCUCUCGAACUUAUAUAUCUACUUUGAUUCGUUUUUUAAAGAAAGUAUUCAUAGAUAGUCAAAUGAUACGUUGCGCACGGUUGUGUUACAUUGCUUAUAAAAAAUUAGAAGAGUAUGACGAUGAUGUUGACCGUGAAUGUUAAAAUGUAAUUUGUAAAAUAUUUGAAACAUACAUAUUAAUGCUUAAUUAAUAUUCUGUCACAAGCGCAAUUGAGAAUUUGCCUAUUUAUGUAAGAUUUGUGUUUUCAACCAGUAAUUCAGAAUAAUAAAGUAAAGUGGGCAAAUCUUUAA